UGCAAGUCGAACGAAGUAGCAAUACUUAGUGGCAGACGGGUGAGUAACAUGUAGGUAUCUGCCCUUUGGCCUGGAAUAACACGAGGAAACUUGUGCUAAUACCGGAUAAGUCUUUACGGAGAAAGCUUUAUGCACCAUUGGAUGAGCCUGCACUUGAUUAGUUUGUUGGUGGGGUAAUGGCCUACCAAGACUGUGAUCAUUAGCUGAUUUGAGAGGAUGAUCAGCCACAUUGGGACUGAGACACGGCCCAAACUCCUACGGGAGGCAGCAGUGGGGAAUCUUGCACAAUGGAGGAAACUCUGAUGCAGCGAUGCCGCGUGAGUGAAGAAGGCCUUUGGGUUGUAAAGCUCUUUCGUCGGGGAAGAAAAUGACUGUACCCGAAUAAGAAGGUCCGGCUAACUUCGUGCAGCAGCCGCGGUAAUACGAAGGGACCUAGCGUAGUUCGGAAUUACUGGGCUUAAAGAGUUCGUAGGUGGUUGAAAAAGUUGGUGGUGAAAUCCCAGAGCUUAACUCUGGAACUGCCAUCAAAACUUUUCAGCUAGAGUAUGAUAGAGGAAAGCAGAAUUUCUAGUGUAGAGGUGAAAUUCGUAGAUAUUAGAAAGAAUACCAAUUGCGAAGGCAGCUUUCUGGAUCAUUACUGACACUGAGGAACGAAAGCAUGGGUAGCGAAGAGGAUUAGAUACCCUCGUAGUCCAUGCCGUAAACGAUGUGUGUUAGACGUUGGAAAUUUAUUUUCAGUGUCGCAGCGAAAGCGAUAAACACACCGCCUGGGGAGUACGACCGCAAGGUUAAAACUCAAAUGAAUUGACGGGGACCCGCACAAGUAGUGGAGCAUGUGGUUUAAUUCGAAGAUACGCGCAGAACCUUACCAACACUUGACAUGUUCGUCGCGACUCUAA
rnacentral:rRNA from 1 species